CCGCAUGAUAUAUCGGAACCACAUGGUUCUGAUAUCAAAGAUUUUAUCGCUUGAAGAUGGACUCGCGUCCGAUUAGUUAGUUGGUGAGGUAACGGCUCACCAAGACCGCGAUCGGUAGCCGGACUGAGAGGUUGAACGGCCACAUUGGGACUGAGACACGGCCCAGACUCCUACGGGAGGCAGCAGUGGGGGAUAUUGCGCAAUGGGGGCAACCCUGACGCAGCAACGCCGCGUGAAGGAUGAAGGUUUUCGGAUUGUAAACUUCUUUUAUUAAGGACGAAAAAUGACGGUACUUAAUGAAUAAGCUCCGGCUAACUACGUGCCAGCAGCCGCGGUAAUACGUAGGGAGCAAGCGUUGUCCGGAUUUACUGGGUGUAAAGGGUGCGUAGGCGGCUUUGCAAGUCAGAUGUGAAAUCUAUGGGCUCAACCCAUAAACUGCAUUUGAAACUGUAGAGCUUGAGUGAAGUAGAGGCAGGCGGAAUUCCCCGUGUAGCGGUGAAAUGCGUAGAGAUGGGGAGGAACACCAGUGGCGAAGGCGGCCUGCUGGGCUUUAACUGACGCUGAGGCACGAAAGCGUGGGUAGCAAACAGGAUUAGAUACCCUGGUAGUCCACGCUGUAAACGAUGAUUACUAGGUGUGGGGGGUCUGACCCCUUCCGUGCC
rnacentral:rRNA from 1 species